AAUUGCAUGGUACUUGAUUGGCCAUAAACCGUGAAUAGACCAUUCCUCGUCGCUGGGCAUCGCGCACUCGUUCUUUGGCGAUACUUCUUUCCAUCUGUAGCAUACUGUCUGGGGCCAAUGUUGGGUUUUGGCGAAUCCAUGGAAGGAAAGGGAAUCGGCGAUCUUGCUGAAAUUGCACCUUGCAUUGAACUGCUGAGCUGAUUUGGAGCGACUAUCAAAGGCUCGAGCGUUGAUUCAUUUGAAAAUAUGUACGAACACGAGGGCAGAAACUGCUUGCAACAGCACAGUGCCACUCAAUCUAUGGUACUUACCCAUCAGCGACAACAACAAAAAUCAAGAAAAGCAGAAAAAGUCCUUUGAUCAAUUUGGCGCGGAUCAUCGUCACCGAUGAUUUGCACUGAACAACGUUUGAUACUAUGAAACAGAAUGUUCUUCGCAAAGGUAAUAUUCACGAGAGUUGCCCCAGCAGUUGAGCUUCAAUUCAACGACGAGUUUUUCAAAAAAAGUUUUCGCAGAGGAAGAUUACGAAAAGCACCGUGGAUGGGUUGGGUGAGCGAAUAUAUAAGUUCGAUAGCGAUAAUGUAAGAUAUAUGUACAAAAUUUGCUGAUUAGACGAAACGAUAUUUGAAAAAAACUGAUAUCGUUUCGUUAUCAGCCUUGGCACGUGACAUCGGUGAACCAACCGAGUGACAAUAUAAAAAUGACUUAGGAUGCAAAGUUCAUUGUUUUUUGCUAACGUGCAAUCUUUUUUGCAGGCCUAGUGCCUUCGGCCGUCGUGAUCGUCCAGAAAAAGAUGGAAUGAUUCGACGGGUCAGAACCGUGCAGCGCAUGCUCGAUAAGUGAGAAUAUCGUUAAGCACAACUUUUAUAUAUAUAUAAUAAUAAAUAAAUAUAUCUUUGUUUAAGAAA